AGAGUUUGAUCAUGGCUCAGGAUGAACGCUGGCGGUAUGCCUAACACAUGCAAGUCGAACGAUGUCUUCGGACAUAGUGGCGGACGGGUGAGUAACGCGUGAGAAUCUGCCUCUAGGAUGGGGAUAACGGUUGGAAACGACCGCUAACACCCAAUAUGCCGUAAGGUGAAAAAUUUAUUGCCUGGAGAGGAGCUCGCGUCUGAUUAGCUAGUUGGUGGGGUAAGAGCUCACCAAGGCCUCGAUCAGUAGCUGGUCUGAGAGGAUGAGCAGCCACACUGGGACUGAGACACGGCCCAGACUCCUACGGGAGGCAGCAGUGGGGAAUUUUCCGCAAUGGGCGAAAGCCUGACGGAGCAAUACCGCGUGAGGGAGGAAUGCCUUUGGGUUGUAAACCUCUUUUCUCAGGGAAGAAGAUCUGACGGUACCUGAGGAAUAAGUAUCGGCUAACUCCGUGCCAGCAGCCGCGGUAAUACGGAGGAUGCAAGCGUUAUCCGGAAUCAUUGGGCGUAAAGCGUCCGCAGGUGGUUUCCAAAGUCUGCUGUUAAAGACUGGAGCUCAACUCCGGAACGGCGGUGGAAACUUGGAAACUAGAGUUCGGUAGGGGUAGCAGGAAUUCCCAGUGUAGCGGUGAAAUGCGUAGAUAUUGGGAAGAACAUCGGUGGCGAAGGCGUGCUACUGGACCGUAACUGACACUCAGGGACGAAAGCUAGGGGAGCGAAAGGGAUUAGAUACCCCUGUAGUCCUAGCUGUAAACGAUGGAAACUAGGUGUGGCUUGUAUCGACCCGAGCCGUGCCGUANCUAACGCGUUAAGUUUCCCGCCUGGGGAGUACGCACGCAAGUGUGAAACUCAAAGGAAUUGACGGGGGCCC
rnacentral:rRNA from 1 species